GAGUUCGCUAGUGAUUCAGGCGUAACGCAUGCAAGUCGAACGGCAGCACGGGAGCAAUCCUGGUGGCGAGUGGCGAACGGGUGAGUAAUACAUCGGAACGUGCCCAGUAGUGGGGGAUAGCCCGGCGAAAGCCGGAUUAAUACCGCAUAUGCCCUGAGGGGGAAAGCGGGGGACCGAAAGGCCUCGCGCUAUUGGAGCGGCCGAUGGCUGAUUAGCUAGUUGGUGGGGUAAAGGCUCACCAAGGCGACGAUCAGUAGCUGGUCUGAGAGGACGACCAGCCACACUGGGACUGAGACACGGCCCAGACUCCUACGGGAGGCAGCAGUGGGGAAUUUUGGACAAUGGGCGCAAGCCUGAUCCAUCAAAGGCGCGUGUGCGAAGAA
rnacentral:rRNA from 1 species